rnacentral:rRNA from 1 species
GAUGAACGCUGGCGGCGUGCCUAAUACAUGCAAGUCGAGCGAACAGAUGAGGAGCUUGCUCCUCUGACGUUAGCGGCGGACGGGUGAGUAACACGUGGAUAACCUACCUAUAAGACUGGGAUAACUUCGGGACACCGGAGCUAAUACCGGAUAAUAUAUUGAACCGCAUGGUUCAAUAGUGAAAGACGGUUUUGCUGUCACUUAUAGCUGGAUCCGCGCCGCAUUAGCUAGUUGGUAAGGUAACGGCUUACCAAGGCAACGAUGCGUAGCCGACCUGAGAGGGUGAUCGGCCACACGGGAACUGAGACACGGUCCAGACUCCUACGGGAGGCAGCAGUAGGGAAUCUUCCGCAAUGGGCGAAAGCCUGACGGAGCAACGCCGCGUGAGUGAUGAAGGCCUUCGGAUCGUAAAACUCUGUUAUUAGGGAAGAACAAAUGUGUAAGUAACUAUGCACGUCUUGACGGUACCGAAUCAGAAAGCCACGGCUAACUACGUG